UGUCAUCUUUCAAGAAGGUUGAGUGUCCAAGUGUCCUUCUCCCCAGGAAAAACGACACGGGAGCAGGUCAGGGUUGCUCUGGGUAAAAGCCUGUGAGCCUAAGAGCUAAUCCUGUACAUGGCUCCUUUACCUGCACACUGGGGAUUUGACCUCUAUCUCCACUCUCAUUAAUAUGGGUGGCCUAUUGCUCUUAUUAAAAGGAAAGGAGGAUAUGUGGGGAGCCGCCCUCACAUUUGCCGUUGCAAGAUGGCACUGACAUCCUGUGUUCUAAGUGGUAAACAAAUAAUCUGCGCAUGUGCCAAGGGUAGUUCUCCACUCCAUGUGCUCUGCCUUCCCCAUGACAACAACUCGGCCAAUGGGCUGCAGCCAAUCAGGGAGUGACAUGUCCUAGGCGGAGGAUAAUUCUCCUUAAAAGGGACAGGGUUUUGCCAUUCUCUCUCUCUUGCUCUCUUGCUCCUGAAGAUGGUAAGCAAUAAAGCUUUUGCCGCAG
rnacentral:lncRNA from 1 species